AUUGAACGCUGGUGGCAGGCUUAACACAUGCAAGUCGAGCGGAGUGAUGGUGCUUGCACUAUCACUUAGCGGCGGACGGGUGAGUAAUGCUUAGGAAUCUGCCUAUUAGUGGGGGACAACAUCUCGAAAGGGAUGCUAAUACCGCAUACGUCCUACGGGAGAAAGCAGGGGAUCACUUGUGACCUUGCGCUAAUAGAUGAGCCUAAGUCGGAUUAGCUAGUUGGUGGGGUAAAGGCCUACCAAGGCGACGAUCUGUAGCGGGUCUGAGAGGAUGAGCCGCCACACUGGGACUGAGACAUGGCCCAGACUCCUACGGGAGGCAGCAGUGGGGAAUAUUGGACAAUGGGGGGAACCCUGAUCCAGCCAUGCCGCGUGUGUGAAGAAGGCCUUAUGGUUGUAAAGCACUUUAAGCGAGGAGGAGGCUCUUUUGGUUAAUACCCAGAAUGAGUGGACGUUACUCGCAGAAUAAGCACCGGCUAACUCUGUGCCAGCAGCCGCCGUAA
rnacentral:rRNA from 1 species